rnacentral:rRNA from 1 species
AUUGAACGCUGGCGGCAUGCUUUACAUAUGCAAGUCGAAUGGUAACAGGUUAAGCUGACGAGUGGCGAACGGGUGAGUAAUGCAUCGGAACGUGCCCGAUCGUGGGGGAUAACGCAGCGAAAGCUGCGCUAAUACCGCAUACGAUCUGAGGAUGAAAGCGGGGGACCGUAAGGCCUCGCGCGAUCGGAGCGGCCGAUGUCAGAUUAGGUAGUUGGUGGGGUAAAGGCCCACCAAGCCGACGAUCUGUAGCUGGUCUGAGAGGACGACCAGCCACACUGGGACUGAGACACGGCCCAGACUCCUACGGGAGGCAGCAGUGGGGAAUUUUGGACAAUGGGCGAAAGCCUGAUCCAGCAAUGCCGCGUGCAGGAAGAAGGCCUUCGGGUUGUAAACUGCUUUUGUACGGAGCGAAAAGGUCCUUUCUAAUACAAGGGGCUCAUGACGGUACCGUAAGAAUAAGCACCGGCUAACUACGUGCCAGCCGCCGCGGUAA